UCGAGCGAAUGGAUUAAGAGCUUGCUCUUAUGAAGUUAGCGGCGGACGGGUGAGUAACACGUGGGUAACCUGCCCAUAAGACUGGGAUAACUCCGGGAAACCGGGGCUAAUACCGGAUAACAUUUUGAACCGCAUGGUUCGAAAUUGAAAGGCGGCUUCGGCUGUCACUUAUGGAUGGACCCGCGUCGCAUUAGCUAGUUGGUGAGGUAACGGCUCACCAAGGCAACGAUGCGUAGCCGACCUGAGAGGGUGAUCGGCCACACUGGGACUGAGACACGGCCCAGACUCCUACGGGAGGCAGCAGUAGGGAAUCUUCCGCAAUGGACGAAAGUCUGACGGAGCAACGCCGCGUGAGUGAUGAAGGCUUUCGGGUCGUAAAACUCUGUUGUUAGGGAAGAACAAGUGCUAGUUGAAUAAGCUGGCACCUUGACGGUACCUAACCAGAAAGCCACGGCUAACUACGUGCCAGCAGCCGCGGUAAUACGUAGGUGGCAAGCGUUAUCCGGAAUUAUUGGGCGUAAAGCGCGCGCAGGUGGUUUCUUAAGUCUGAUGUGAAAGCCCACGGCUCAACCGUGGAGGGUCAUUGGAAACUGGGAGACUUGAGUGCAGAAGAGGAGAGUGGAAUUCCAUGUGUAGCGGUGAAAUGCGUAGAGAUAUGGAGGAACACCAGUGGCGAAAGCGACUUUCUGGUCUGUAACUGACACUGAGGCGCGAAAGCGUGGGGAGCAAACACGAUUAGAUACCCUGGUAGUCCACGCCGUAAACGAUGAGUGCUAAGUGUUAGAGGGUUUCCGCCCUUUAGUGCUGAAGUUAACGCAUUA
rnacentral:rRNA from 1 species